rnacentral:sRNA from 1 species
UGAUAAAAUUAUAUGAGCCGUCAACCUG